CUUUAGUAAUUGCGAAUGAACAAGGAUAUGCUUAGCUUGACAAAUGGAGCUAUUGGCUUUGAAUUGUAUUGUGGAAAUGUAUUACCAACAGAGGUGCAGGUGCCAGCCUAUUGAAAUAAAGCGUCAAUGAGGGUGAGAAUCCUGUUUGUCAUGUGCAGCCCUUUGUGCACGGUGUAUAUUUGCUGAGUCACACUCCUUGGCAUUGGAAUGCAAAGUGGGUGGUAAGUUUCAUGUAAAGGUAAACAUGCAAUUGAGACUGAUAGCACACAAGUACCAUGAGGGAAAUAUGAAAAGGACUUUGAAAAGAGAAUUAAAUGAGUUUGUAUUUGCUGAACACAAAGUAAACAGACUUGAUUUGCUUGGUGGGAGUGUUGCACUUGCUUGACAAGAGCUUUGGGCUGUGGGUGUAAUGAUUCUUUCUUUGCAUGCCAGUUUCUAUUUGUACAUCUGAUUACCUUUGCACAUGAAUGAUAAGUCUCCUGUGGGGGGUGGAUUGCAUGUGCAUGUAAUGAUUUGUGUUUUGAUAAAUGUGUCUGGUGUAUGUGUGUGUUCCUGUGCUUGGGGAUGCUUCCUUCCUUGGACUUACAAGCCCUGACACACACAUGCUGGCAAAAUGCUUCUGCUUGACCCGUCUUGAAACACGGACCAAGGAGUCUAACAGAUGUGCAAAGUUUGAAGGUGGUAUACCUUUGUGUGCAAUGAAAGUGUCAGCUGGGAUAUGUGCACCAGCACCCAAUUAAUUAGCGGACAGAGGUUUGAGUUGGAGCAUAUCUAUUAGGACCCGAAAGAUGGUGAACUAUGCCUGAACAGAAUGAAUUCAGAGGAAACUCUGAUGGAGGUUCGUAUCGAUACUGACGUGCAAAUCGUUCGUCAUAUUUGGGUAUAGGGGCGAAAGACUAAUCGAACCAUCUAGUAGCUGGUUCCCUCCGAAGUUUCCCUCAGGAUAGCUGGAGUUGCUCAGUUUUAUCAGGUAAAGCGAAUGAUUAGAGGAAUUGGGGACAGGUUUGUCUUUGACCUAUUCUCAAACUUUAAAUGGG
rnacentral:rRNA from 1 species